UUUGUAAAGAAAAAUAAGAAAAAAUAAAUCCAUCAUUAAAGGCGUUUUAACUUUAAAUCGUCACUUCUGGACAAAAUUUCAU